rnacentral:rRNA from 1 species
AAGGGUGAGUAACGCGUGAGCAACGUGCCCGUAUGUGGGGGAUAGUCAUUGGAAACGAUGCGUAAUACCCCGUAACACAAAUCUUCGCAUGGGGAUUUGUUGAAAGAUUUAUUGCAUACGGAUCGGCUCGCGUGCCAUUAGGUAGACGGCGGGGUAACGGCCCACCGUGCCGACGAUGGCUAGGGGUUCUGAGAGGAAGGUCCCCCACAUUGGAACUGAGACACGGUCCAGACUCCUACGGGAGGCAGCAGUGAGGAAUAUUGGACAAUGGCCGGAAGGCUGAUCCAGCCAUGCCGCGUGCGGGAAGACGGCCCUAUGGGUUGUAAACCGCUUUUGCGAGGGAGCAAUAAGGGCAACGUGUUGUCCGAUGAGAGUACCUCGCGAAUAAGCAUCGGCUAACUCCGUGCCAGCAGCCGCGGUAAUACGGAGGAUGCAAGCGUUAUCCGGAUUUAUUGGGUUUAAAGGGUGCGCAGGCGGCUUGUUAAGCGGGAGGUGAAAUGCCGGCGCUCAACGUCGGAAGUGCCUCCCGAACUGGUGAGCUUGAAUGACUCUGCCGUGGGAGGAAUGUGUAGUGUAGCGGUGAAAUGCUUAGAGAUUACACAGAACACCGAUUGCGAAGGCAUCUCACGAAGGGUUGAUUGACGCUGAGGCACGAAAGCGUGGGGAUCAAACAGGAUUAGAUACCCUGGUAGUCCACGCAGUAAACGAUGAUGGCUAACCGCUGGGCCUUCCGGUUCAGUGGCCAAGCGAAAGCGAUAAGCCAUCCACCUGGGGAGUACGACCGCAAGGUUGAAACUCAAAUGAAUUGACGG